UACGAAGGGAGCUAGCGUUGUUCGGAAUCACUGGGCGUAAAGCGCACGUAGGCGGCUGUGUCAGUCAGGGGUGAAAUCCCGGAGCUCAACUUCGGAACUGCCUUUGAUACAGCACAUCUGGAGUCCGGAAGAGGUGGGUGGAAUUCCCAGUGUAGAGGUGAAAUUCGUAGAUAUUGGGAAGAACACCGGUGGCGAAGGCGGCGACCUGGUCCGUGACUGACGCUGAGGCGCGAAAGCGUGGGGAGCAAACAGG
rnacentral:rRNA from 1 species